rnacentral:rRNA from 1 species
ACACACGUGCUACAAUGGUCGGUACAGAGGGUUGCCAAGCCGCGAGGUGGAGCUAAUCCCAGAAAACCGAUCGUAGUCCGGAUCGCAGUCUGCAACUCGACUGCGUGAAGUCGGAAUCGCUAGUAAUCGCGAAUCAGAAUGCCGCGGUGAAUACGUUCCCGGGCCUUGUACACACCGCCCGUCACACCAUGGGAGUGGGUUGCACCAGA